GGGAGCAAUUAAAUCUUUUUUCUCUUUAUUUCCCUAGAUUGAGUUUUAAUGUUGUUGUGGAUAGUAUUCCACCUUACUUAAUAUGUUCUUGUUAUUUUUUCUUCAGAUAUAUAUCAAGAGAAGAGCUAGAGCAAGCUCUACGAGAAUUUGGUAUGAAUGACGAAAAUGAUUUGAGGGAAAUCAUUAAUGAAGUUGACACUGAUCAUGACGGUCGGAUAAAUUAUGAUGAGUUUGCAGCUAUGAUGAAGAAAGGAAAUCCAGAGGCAGCAACAAUGAACCCAAAGAAAAGAAGGGAUUCAUUUGUUGCAUAAAUUUUCAUCAUCAAUUAAUGAAAAAUGUCUCAAAAGAAUGAAAGACAAUUAUGUUAAUUGUCUUUGUUGUAGAGAAAACCAAACUAUUACAUAGUAAAAAUUUCAAGAUCCAUUCAUGAGACUUUGUAUAUUAACUAUGAUAUUAAGAAGAUAAACACACACACACAAACACAUUUACAAAGAAUAGAUUGUAAAAGUCAUGGCUAUGUUGAGAUUUGAGGGUUGAUAGGAUCUUCUAAUGCCAAACACAGUUUGGUUAAAGCUUUGAUCUGAAAAGAAUGGAGGUCUUUCAGAAGUAUAUAUGUAUCGAUAAUUCUGCAAUAUAGAAAGUAGGCUUUAAAAGUU